rnacentral:rRNA from 1 species
GAAUUAUAGCAAUAUAGUUAGUGGCGAACGGGUGAGUAAUGUAUAGGAACUUGCUUCAGGGUGGGGGACAGCCUUUGGAAACGAAGAUUAAUACCGCAUAACACCACUUGUGGGAAAGUCGUAAGACGCCCUGAAAGAGGCCUAUAUCCGAUUAGUUUGUUGGUGGGGUAAUAGCCUACCAAGGCUAUGAUCGGUAGCCGAUCUGAGAGGAUGGUCGGCCACACCGGGACUGAGACACGGCCCGGACUCC